UACGUAGGGUCCGAGCGUUGUCCGGAAUUACUGGGCGUAAAGAGCUCGUAGGUGGUUUGUCGCGUUGUUCGUGAAAACUCACAGCUCAACUGUGGGCGUGCGGGCGAUACGGGCAGACUAGAGUACUGCAGGGGAGACUGGAAUUCCUGGUGUAGCGGUGGAAUGCGCAGAUAUCAGGAGGAACACCGGUGGCGAAGGUGGUUCUCUGGGCAUGUCCUGACGCUGAGGAGCGAAAGCUAGGGGAGCGAACGGG
rnacentral:rRNA from 1 species